rnacentral:rRNA from 1 species
UACCUGCAGUCGACGAACUCUUCGGAGUUAGUGGCGGACGGGUGAGUAACACGUGGGAACGUGCCUUUUGGUUCGGAAUAGCUCCUGGAAACGGGUGGUAAUGCCGAAUGUGCCCUUCGGGGGAAAGAUUUAUCGCCAUUAGAGCGGCCCGCGUCUGAUUAGCUUGUUGGUGAGGUAAUGGCUCACCAAGGCUACGAUCAGUAGCUGGUCUGAGAGGAUGACCAGCCACAUUGGGACUGAGACACGGCCCAAACUCCUACGGGAGGCAGCAGUGGGGAAUCUUGCGCAAUGGGCGAAAGCCUGACGCAGCCAUGCCGCGUGUAUGAUGAAGGUCUUAGGAUUGUAAAAUACUUUCACCGGUGAAGAUAAUGACUGUAGCCGGAGAAGAAGCCCCGGCUAACUUCGUGCCAGCAGCCGCGGUAAUACGAAGGGGGCUAGCGUUGCUCGGAAUUACUGGGCGUAAAGGGAGCGUAGGCGGACAUUUAAGUCAGAGGUGAAAUCCCGGAGCUUAACUUCGGAACUGCCUUUGAUACUGGGUGUCUUGAGUGUGAGAGAGGUAUGUGGAACUCCGAGUGUAGAGGUGAAAUUCGUAGAUAUUCGGAAGAACACCAGUGGCGAAGGCGACAUACUGGCUCAUUACUGACGCUGAGGCUCGAAAGCGUGGGGAGCAAACAGGA